rnacentral:rRNA from 1 species
AGUGAACGCUGGCGGUAGGCCUAACACAUGCAAGUCGAACGGCAGCACAGUAAGAGCUUGCUCUUACGGGUGGCGAGUGGCGGACGGGUGAGGAAUACAUCGGAAUCUACUUUUUCGUGGGGGAUAACGUAGGGAAACUUACGCUAAUACCGCAUACGACCUACGGGUGAAAGCAGGGGAUCUUCGGACCUUGCGCGAUUGAAUGAGCCGAUGUCGGAUUAGCUAGUUGGCGGGGUAAAGGCCCACCAAGGCGACGAUCCGUAGCUGGUCUGAGAGGAUGAUCAGCCACACUGGAACUGAGACACGGUCCAGACUCCUACGGGAGGCAGCAGUGGGGAAUAUUGGACAAUGGGCGCAAGCCUGAUCCAGCCAUACCGCGUGGGUGAAGAAGGCCUUCGGGUUGUAAAGCCCUUUUGUUGGGAAAGAAAAGCAGCAGGUUAAUACCCCGCUGCUCUGGCGGUACCCAAAGAAUAAGCACCGGCUAACUUCGUG